rnacentral:rRNA from 1 species
UGGGGAAUUUUGGACAAUGGGCGAAAGCCUGAUCCAGCAAUGCCGCGUGUGUGAAGAAGGCCUUCGGGUUGUAAAGCACUUUUGUCCGGAAAGAAAUCCUUGGCCCUAAUACAGUCGGGGGAUGACGGUGCCGGAAGAAUAAGCACCGGCUAACUACGUGCCAGCAGCCGCGGUAAUACGUAGGGUGCAAGCGUUAAUCGGAAUUACUGGGCGUAAAGCGUGCGCAGGCGGUUUGCUAAGACCGAUGUGAAAUCCCCGGGCUCAACCUGGGAACUGCAUUGGUGACUGGCAGGCUAGAGUAUGGCAGAGGGGGGUAGAAUUCCACGUGUAGCAGUGAAAUGCGUAGAGAUGUGGAGGAAUACCGAUGGCGAAGGCAGCCCCCUGGGCCAAUACUGACGCUCAUGCACGAAAGCGUGGGGAGCAAACAGGAUUAGAUACCCUGGUAGUCCACGCCCUAAACGAUGUCAACUAGUUGUUGGGGAUUCAUUUCCUUAGUAACGUAGCUAACGCGUGAAGUUGACCGCCUGGGGAGUACGGUCGCAAGAUUAAAACUUAAAGGAAUUGAC